rnacentral:tRNA from 1 species
GCUCAGUUGGUUAAGUGUCUGAUUCUUGAUUUUGGCUCAGGUCAUGAUCUCAUGGUUCAUGGGUUCAAGUCCCACAUUGGGCU